rnacentral:tRNA from 1 species
ACCACGAUAGCUCAGUUGUAGAACAUCUGCCGGUAUGGUAGAGGGUUGCUGGUUCGUUUCCGGCUCGAGGUG